ensembl:lncRNA
AAAGGCUGAAACAUGUCCAGCAAUUGAAGGUUGAAAACAUCAUGUCAGACCCACUUAUUAUCUCUAAAGGUGUGCCUCAAGUCUCCAUCCUGGGCCCAACCCUUUUUUCUAUCUACAUCAAUGAUAUAGCCAAAGCUGCUGGCACCUCCCGGAUUCAUCUUUAUGCAGAUGAUACCAUUUUGUACUCAGUUGGAUCCUCUCCAAAUUCUGUGGCUUCCAGUCUUAAACUCAGCUUCACCUCUAUAGAGCAGUUUUUUGACAAUCUCCACCUCCGUAUUAACACCAGUAAGACAAAAUGUAUUCUUUUUAGCCGAAAACCGGUUACCCAGACUCCACUUACAAUCACCUGCAUGAACGGUAUGGCUCUGGAGUAUGUCAAAAAAUAUAAAUAUCUAGGCAUUGGGUUGGAUUCAUCCCUGUCAUUCAUUACACACAUUAAUAACCUUCAAACAAAAGUCAAAGCUAGGCUAGCCUUUCUCUUCCGCAAUAAAGCUUCCUUUACUUAUGCUACCAAAUGCACCCUUGUUAAGAUGACAGUACUGCCAAUUUUGGAUUAUGGCGAUAUUAUCUACAGAAUGGCACCAAACACAGCCCUAAAAAAACUUGACACACUUUAUCAUUCAGCCAUCCAUUUUGCCACUAAUGCACCCUUUCACACUCAUCACUGUGACCUAUAUAAACUGGGCUGGCCCUCCCUUCAUACCCGGCGACUCCAUCAUUGGUUUCUCUUCAUAUACAAGACAAUCCUGGGCAAGACACCUCUCUAUCUGUCAUCUCUUCUUCAUGCCGUUCAUAACACCUAUUACACAAGAUCAAGUAAUUUGAUCAAAUUUAGUACCCCUCCUACUUCUACUACUUUUGGACGUAAUGCCUUCCGCUUUGCAGCAGUAUAUGACUGGAACAUACUACAAAAUACCCUGAAACUUACAUCUCUGAUACCAAUCUCCACCUUUAAGCAGAACCUUCAAAAUUAUAUAGUUGACUCUUGUUCCUGCUGACAAUCAUGAAUCAUAUUUAUACACACAUACUUAAGCACUUUAUUGUUUUUCUUUUUCUCUUUUUUCUUUGAUGUCUAUCUUUUUUAAUUCAAUUGCUUGUUUUAUGUGUCAUGUGUUUGACAAUGUACAGUUGUACAGUAUGUUCCUAUUUAUUCCUGUAGCCUCUUGGCCAGGUCAUGUUUGUAAAUGAGAAGUGGUUCUCAAACAGUUUACCUGGAUAAAUAAAGAAAUAAAAAAAAAAAAAUCUUGAUGAACUUGUAUUGAAGCUGAAACUGGUUUGAAAUGAGUUAAAGUAAUGGGAAAACAUGACUGAUCAUAUCUUUUUUUAGAGUGU